rnacentral:sRNA from 3 species
GCCGUAGCAAAAUCUACGGCCGGGAUUAGCCUCCUGAAUAACACGAUGGCGCAUACCGCGUUAGCGGUUUUUUU